GACAGAGGUGCCAAGCGUUAGGCGGAAUCACUGGGCUUAAAGCGUGUGUAGGCGGACUUCUAAGUGCUUUGUGAAAUCCCACGGCUCAACCGUGGAAUGGCUUGGCAUACUGGGAGUCUUGAGCCACCUAGGGGCGAGCGGAACAAACGGUGGAGCGGUGAAAUGCGUAGAUAUCGUUUGGAACGCCAAUGGUGAAAACAGCUCGCUGGGGGUGUGCUGACGCUGAGACACGAAAGCCAGGGGAGCGAACGGG
rnacentral:rRNA from 1 species